CACAACUGACAACGUUUCAUUUUGAAGUGCCUCAGCAAGCUUUAUUUUGUGUGAUUAAUUCUGUUUUUUCACAGGCUUACAAAGGUUGAUAUACAAAGAGUUUUGGACCCUGAUUUGAGUGCAUGUUCAUGGAGCAGUAAAACUCUCAGCUGGAAACCUGAAUAAUCAGGUAAUAAAACCCAGGACUGAACCCCCAGAAGAUCUGGCUUCUUCUGGCAUAAACAGCCUCCUGUACUCGACGAUCUCCAUCUCCAGCCUGGUCUUGAUGUGCAACAGCAUCUGGUACUC